GUACUCAUCCUGGGAGCAUACAUACUAAAAUUGAAACAAUACAGAAGUUACUUAGCAUGGGCCCUCGCACAAGGAUGACACACAGAUCUAUGAAGCAUUCCAUAUUAAA